GACGAACCGUACGAACGUUAUUCGGAAUCACUGGGCUUAAAGGGUGCGUAGGCGGCGCGACAAGUUGGGUGUGAAAUCCCUCGGCUCAACCGAGGAACUGCGCCCAAAACUGUCGUGCUCGGGGGAGACAGAGGUGAGCGGAACUUAGGGUGGAGCGGUGAAAUGCGUUGAUAUCCUAAGGAACACCGGUGGCGAAAGCGGCUCACUGGGUCUCUUCUGACGCUGAGGCACGAAAGCUAGGGUAGCGAACGGG
rnacentral:rRNA from 1 species